rnacentral:lncRNA from 1 species
UAUGGUAUUUUUGGCAUCUUGUAUAUAUGUUUUCUAAUUGGUUUUCAAGUCUUUAUCGAAUCUUCCUAGUUCUUUUUGAGUCAUUACAGGUCUGGAGUUGCAUUGGAUCGGAGAUAGACCAACUGGAACAAAAAGGACGGAACACAAUGCAAUCUGGAGAUUUUCACGCGGAACAACCCGAGUGACUGUUCCCGAUAGCGGAGCAACCCGAGUGACUGUUCUGGAUAGAGCGGAGCAACCCGAGUGCCUGUUCCAGCGGCAAAGAUUUUUAAGGAAAUUACAAGUCAAUACGGGAUUGGCCCUAAUUAUCCCAUUUUUUUCUCCCAGCCGCCUGUGGCUUUGAUAUAUCAUAUUCUU